rnacentral:piRNA from 1 species
UUUCAGUCUGAGGGCUCCAACAG